UAGUGAGUUUGAUCCUGGCUCAGAACGAACGCUGGCGGCAUGCCUAACACAUGCAAGUCGAACGAGACCUUCGGGUCUAGUGGCGCACGGGUGCGUAACGCGUGGGAAUCUGCCCUUGGGUUCGGAAUAACAGUUAGAAAUGACUGCUAAUACCGGAUAAUGACUUCGGUCCAAAGAUUUAUCGCCCAGGGAUGAGCCCGCGUAGGAUUAGCUAGUUGGUGGGGGUAAAGGCCUACCAAGGCGACGAUCCUUAGCUGGUCUGAGAGGAUGAUCAGCCACACUGGGACUGAGACACGGCCCAGACUCCUACGGGGAGGCAGCAGUGGGGAACUUUUCCGCAAUGGGCGCAAGCCUGACGGAGCAAGACCGCGUG
rnacentral:rRNA from 1 species